GAUGAACGCUAGCGGCAGGCCUAAUACAUGCAAGUCGAACGGUAAGGCCCUUUCGGGGUACACGAGUGGCGGACGGGUGCGUAACGCGUAUGCAACAUACCUUCAAGCGGGGGAUAUGCCAGGGAAACUUGGUGCAACACCCCAUAGCAUUUCGGGACCGCAUGGUCUUGGGAUUAAAUAUUUAUAGCUUGGAGAUUGGCAUGCGUGACAUUAGCUAGUUGGCGGGGUAACGGCCCACCAAGGCGACGAUGUCUAGCUGGUCUGAGGGGAUGAUCAGCCACACUGGGACUGAGACACGGCCCAGACUCCUACGGGAGGCAGCAGUAGGGAAUAUUGGACAAUGGGGGGAACCCUGAUCCAGCCAUGCCGCGUGAGGGAAGAAGGUCCUCUGGAUUGUAAACCUCUUUUGGCGGGGGACAAACCUGCACUAUACGUGCAGCUGAGGGUACCCGCAGAAUAAGCACCGGCUAACUCCGUGCCAGCAG
rnacentral:rRNA from 1 species